UAAGGCGGCCAUAGCGGCGGGGCCACUCCCGUACCCAUCCCGAACACGGAAGAUAAGCCCGCCUGCGUUCCGAUCAGUACUGGAGUGCGCGAGCCUCUGGGAAAUUCGGUUCGCCGCCUGCC
rfam:Halobacterium sp. DL1, complete genome.